rnacentral:rRNA from 1 species
AUUGAACGCUGGCGGCAGGCCUAACACAUGCAAGUCGAGCGGAUGAAGAGAGCUUGCUCUCUGAUUCAGCGGCGGACGGGUGAGUAAUGCCUAGGAAUCUGCCUGGUAGUGGGGGACAACGUUUCGAAAGGAACGCUAAUACCGCAUACGUCCUACGGGAGAAAGCAGGGGACCUUCGGGCCUUGCGCUAUCAGAUGAGCCUAGGUCGGAUUAGCUAGUAGGUGGGGUAAAGGCUCACCUAGGCGACGACCCGUAACUGGUCUGAGAGGAUGAUCAGUCACACUGAAACUGAGACACGGUCCAGACUCUUCCGGGAGGCAGCAGUGGGGAAUAUUGGACAAUGGGCGAAAGCCUGAUCCAGCCAUGCCGCGUGUGUGAAGAAGGUCUUCGGAUUGUAAAGCACUUUAAGUUGGGAGGAAGGGCAGUAAGUUGAUACCUUGCUGUUUUGACGUUACCAACAGAAUAAGCACCGGCUAACUUCGUGCCAGCCGCCGCCGUAAUAC